rnacentral:rRNA from 1 species
UGCCAGCCGCCGCGGUAAGACGGAGGGGGCUAGCGUUGUUCGGAUUUACUGGGCGUAAAGAGCAUGUAGGCGGCAUGGCAAGUUGGGAGUGAAAGCCCGGGGCUUAACCUCGGAACUGCUCUCAAAACUGCCAAGCUAGAGUAUGGUAGAGGAUGAUGGAAUUCCUAGUGUAGAGGUGAAAUUCUUAGAUAUUAGGAGGAACACCGGUGGCGAAGGCGGUCAUCUGGGCCAUUACUGACGCUGAGAUGCGAAAGCGUGGGGAGCAAACAGGAUUAGAUA